rnacentral:rRNA from 1 species
AGGAUAAACGCUGGCGGCGUGCCUAACACAUGCAAGUCGAACGCGCUUGCUAUCCGCGAGGACGGUGAGCGAGUGGCGGACGGGUGAGGAACACGUGGGUGACCUACCUUUCAGUGAGGGAUACCGGCGAGAAAUUGCCGACAAGACCGCAUACGCUUCUCUUUUCAAGGGGAGAAGGAAAGCUUUUCGCAAGAGAGGCGCUGGGAGAUGGGCCUGCGGCCGAUUAGCUAGCUGGUGGGGUAAUGGCCUACCAGGGCGACGAUCGGUAGCUGGUCUGAGAGGACGAUCAGCCACACUGGGAUUGAGAACGGCCCAGACUCCUACGGGGGGCAGCAGUGAGGAAUUUUCGGCAAUGGGGGCAACCCUGACCCGAGCAACGCCGCGUGCAGGACGACGGCCUUCGGGUGUAAACUGCUUUUCUCUGGGACGAGCAAGGACGGUACCAGAGGAAGAAGCCCCGGCUAACUACGUGCCAGCAGCCGCGGU